rnacentral:rRNA from 1 species
UAACGCGUGAGGAACCUGCCUUCCAGAGGGGGACAACAGUUGGAAACGACUGCUAAUACCGCAUGACACAUUUGAAUCGCAUGGUUUGAAUGUCAAAGAUUUAUCGCUGGAAGAUGGCCUCGCGUCUGAUUAGCUAGUAGGCGGGGUAACGGCCCACCUAGGCGACGAUCAGUAGCCGGACUGAGAGGUUGACCGGCCACAUUGGGACUGAGAUACGGCCCAGACUCCUACGGAAGGCAGCAG